rnacentral:lncRNA from 1 species
GUUGCAUCGCUUGUUACAUUACACAAGUUAAUAAAUAAGGCUUCGUUAGUGGACUAAAGUAUCGGGCAGUGUCCCAAGCGAUACAAUAAUAUUAAUUGAUUAUUUGACAGGAGUUAGUUUUUGUUUCCCCAUUUGCACAGCAGAAGCAAAAUCAGGUUAGUUAAAGCAGUGAUAGUUUUCCAGCCUUUGAGAGGUCUCCCAGGAUGUCCUCGACGAAGCGCUCCAGGUAGUCCUCGUCGUCGUCGUCAUCGUCGUCGGCGGCCGCCCCCGCGCCCUCGUCAUCGUCGCCGC